rnacentral:misc_RNA from 1 species
GGAAACAGCACACCAAGUAUCAACACAUAGAGAGGGGAUAAGCUACAUCCGCAUGUUCUGCUUCCUAUUAUGGCACAUAUGGAAGAAUAGAAACAACUCCAUCUUCAAGCAAGAACGGUGUCCUUUUCAUGAGAUCAUAACUAGGGCUAUUCGUCAUCAGGAAGAAUAUGUGGAAGCCCAAAAGCUGAAUUCCAACCCAUUGCGUACUACUCGAGCUGCUUCAUCUAAUUCACUCUAUGCUCAUCCAGCGGCAGGAAUGAUAAAAGUCAAUUUCGAUGCUGCAGUUUCCUUGAAACAGAAUAGAGGCGCUUCUGCUACAUAUGUUCAUGGUUAGUUAUCUAAGCAAUAUCAGAAUCUGACAGAUCCUCUCACCUUGGAAUGCCUAGCAUGCAGGGAUGCUCUACAACUUGCUAUUGAUAAAGGUUUCACUAGAGUAACGAUUGAAGGAGAUUCU